AGUGAACGCUGGCGGUAGGCCUAACACAUGCAAGUCGAACGGCAGCACAGUAAGAGCUUGCUCUUACGGGUGGCGAGUGGCGGACGGGUGAGGAAUACAUCGGAAUCUACUUUUUCGUGGGGGAUAACGUAGGGAAACUUACGCUAAUACCGCAUACGACCUACGGGUGAAAGCAGGGGAUCUUCGGACCUUGCGCGAUUGAAUGAGCCGAUGUCGGAUUAGCUAGUUGGCGGGGUAAAGGCCCACCAAGGCGACGAUCCGUAGCUGGUCUGAGAGGAUGAUCAGCCACACUGGAACUGAGACACGGUCCAGACUCCUACGGGAGGCAGCAGUGGGGAAUAUUGGACAAAGGGCGCAAGCCUGAUCCAGCCAUACCGCGUGGGUGAAGAAGGCGUUCGGGUUGUAAAGCCCUUUUGUUGGGAAAGAAAAGCAGCAGGUUAAUACCCCGCUGUUCUGACGGUACCCAAAGAAUAAGCACCGGCUAACUUCGUG
rnacentral:rRNA from 1 species